rfam:Astyanax mexicanus chromosome 10, whole genome shotgun sequence.
GUUCCUGUGGCUCAGUGGUAGAUGCUAUGCCUCCCGGUCAGGAGGUCAUCGGUUCAAGACCGAUCAGGAACU